AUGGUCGCGACGAGCUGGAGCAGGGAGCGCCCGGGCAGCUUCUUGCGGGCGAGGGACUUCUUGGCAGCUCUGCUCUUGCCGCGCUGGCACCUGACGGAGCGGGUUCCGCCCAGAGGCCACGCGCCUUGGAGCCACGGCGCCUUCUUGAGGAGGAGGCGGCUAGGGCGCCCCCGGAGCUUCGUCGCCCGCGCGGGGCGGGGUGCGGUGCAGCGGAACGGAUGGCGCAGGAGAUCCCCCUGCGGCGCGGACGAGCUCGGUGACGCGGUCGAGCCAUUCUUCGUAGACGUCGUCGACGGGACGGUAGCUCAGGAGCUCGUUUGCCGCGAUGACGCAGCUCGAGCCUCCAUGGAUGCGCGGAGCGCGUGGGACGAAGAACCAGCUGGGGUGAGCGAGGGAGUAGCGGUGCGGCCGUCUUGCUACACGGACGGAUGCUGA
rnacentral:rRNA from 1 species